UGCACCUUCGAGUUGGACGGAUUACCCAUUCGAAAGGAAAAAAGUAAAACUGCGAAUGGCUCAUUAAAACAGUUAUAGUUUAUUUGAUACAUUAAAUGGAUAACUGUAGAAAAACUAGAGCUAAUACAUGCCAAAGCCUCACGGUUGUAUUUAUUAGAUAUUCCAAUUAGGUGAAUCAUAAUAACUUCGCAAAUCUCGGUUUUUUGCCGAGAUAAAUCAUCCAAGUUUCUGCCCUAUCAUGCUUUCGAUGGUAGUGUAUUGGACUACUAUGGUCAAAAUACGGUAACAGGGAAUUAGGGUUCGAUUCUGGAGAAGGAGCCUGAGACGCGGCUACUACAUCUACGGAAGGCAGCAGGCGCGUAAAUUACCCAAUCCUGACUCAGGGAGGUGGUGACAAGAUAUAACAACGCAAUUUCAUUGUGAUUGUAGUGAGGGUAUUCCAAACCGAACCACUAGUACGAUUAGAGGGCAAGUCUGGUGCCAGCAGCCGCGGUAAUUCCAGCUCUAUAGCGUAUAUAAAGUUGCUGCAGUUAAAAGCUCGUAGUGGAUUCAGGAUGUGUACUCUCUCAGAGUAUGCACCUACUAGUCUUGACUGUACUGUGAGAAUAAGUGUAGCAGCUAUGCAGAUCUACAUGAUACGAUGAUUGACUUGUAUCAGUCGAUAAAGAGUGGGCUAUAUGCAAGAUGAUGAACUGGAUCGGUUCUACACAAGACAUGCUACACGGGGACUCUCAUAUGGGUUGCG
rnacentral:rRNA from 1 species